UCUCUCCCGGCUUAAGGCCUCUAGGCUCGCCCCCAACUUCCACCCCACGCCGGCGCUGUAAGUGGUCAUCGCCCGGCAGCCCGAGACCAAGACGCGUGCAUCCCCACAGCCUCUGAUUCCCUGACAACCCCUAGGCCGGAGCCAGCGCGACCAAUAACGUGCCAGGUCCUCGGCCUCCCCGCCACCGACCAAUCACGAGCGAGCCCCCCCCCGCCGUCGCCUUCCGCCAAUGGGAGAAAGCCCGCGAGCCGGGCCGACAAGGCGCACGGACCCCGCGAGCGCGACGGCGGCGACAGCGACGGGCCAGGGAGAACACAACAUGGCGGUGGGCAGGCCGGACCGAACUACAGCAGCAGCCACGCGAGGGAAGUGAGGUCUCCGCCGAGGGCGGGAAGCGCCGCCCCUCCCCCCGCGACUGCCGCUCACCUCUCCCCCUCCCUCCCGCGGACGCUCCCGCACACUCACACGCCUCGGCUCAGAAGUCCAGGGAAGAGCAGGAGCCGCCCCCGCGCUCCGGCGGAGUCGGGCAAUGCAGAGGCCUGGGCACGACGGAGGGGAGGGGGAAGCGUGCGUCACGGAGAACGGAGCGCGCGCUAAGCCGGGGUACAAACAAGAUGGCGGCCACGCCGUUUGCACUGUCUCCCCCCGCUUCCCCUCCCCCUCCCUUGGCGCCUUGGCUCCGAGUGUCUUUAAUGCGCAGAAGCUUAGUCGCUUGAAGUCUCGCGAGAAUUGAGAAGGGGCGACGACUUGGUGAGCCUUGAGCCAUCUGACCCCGCCCCCUUUAGAGUCCAGAGGUGUCUAGCGGGGUCCUAGAUAGCGUAUUCAGCCUUUGUGGACCUUUGCUAUGGUCCGCGUGCUUUUGAGUUUUAGGAGAAUAGAUAGUUUUACGUGGGUUUGUUUGUUUUUUAAGGAAGUAACAGCUGGAGGAUGGAGGGCGGCAUGAGGAAUGCCAGAUUAAGUGCGCUGUUAAAGAAGACAGCUGCCAGUACCGUAAAAGGGGAUUUAAAACUGUAAAGAUACACUUCAGAAUAAAGAACAGCACUUUCCUAGAAUGGUCACCUUGUAACUUUACGUCUAUAUGCACAUUGUUUUUGUCACUUGACUGCAGAAUUAAAACUUCUUUAAAAGCAGUUGGAAACUGAACUGCAACCAGCACUCGUUUUCAUGCUUUACCGCUUUAAUCUCCACAACUACUUAGUCCGAAGGCAUUAGCAUUAUUUCUGUUUUACUGGUGAUGAAGUUGAAGCGCCAAAAUGUUAAGCAACUUAAGGCUCCGCAGCUAGUUAAUGGCGAGACUCGGUUUGAAUAGUCAAAUCUGUAUAUAAAUACAUCUAAUAUAUAUUGAGUAGAAUCAUCCACAAUGAAACUGUGCACUAGGUUGCAAGCACAAAUAAGACUGCUUUUGCUGGUGUUUACCUUGAAGUUUACAGAUGACUUUUCUGAGACUUGUUUUGCAGGGGUUCUCAACAAUAAAAUCAAUACACUAUUAUUAUUUCCUUCCUUUGAGUUUAUGACCCUAGUGAUAAAGUUGUUGAGAAUAAUGGAAUAAAUCCUUGACUUGAAUUCAGGAAAAUUGUUUUCAAAUCCAGCCUUAAUAAAUCUCACUUCAUGCAUUCAAUAAAUAUUUGAUGAAUAAAUAAAACCUGACUAGUUACAAGACACUUAAGUUCACUAAGUCUUGUUGAUUUCUUCAUCUGUAAAGUGAUCUAAUUCCUACCUCAGAGUGUCAGGGAUAUUGAAUGAAACAGUUUAAGGGAGAGUGCUUUGCAAAAGAAUUUCAAAGUAGUGAUAAUGAUGUUUUCAGACAUGAGAAAUGGCAUAAAAAUUAAAAACAGACUCAAGAAAUAGUAUGUUGAGAUAAAUAAGCUUAGCUAAUGGGGAAAUGGAGAAGGCUAUGGCACUCCACUCCAGUAUUCUUGCCUGGAAAAUCCCAUGGGCGGAGGAGCCUGGUGGGCUGCAGUCCAUGGGGUCGCACAGAGUCGGACAUGACUGAAGUGAUUUAGCAGCAGCAGCAAUGGGGAAAAGCUAGGGGACUCGAUUCCAUCCCUGAUCUGGGAAGAUCCCACAUGCCGUGGAGCAACUAAGCCACAACUAAUGAGCCCGUGCUUCACAAGAAGAGAAGCCACCACAAUGAGACGCUGAUAAACCGCAGCUAGAGAGUAGCCCCUGCUUGCCACAGAUGAAGAAAGCCCUUGUGCAGCCAAGAAGACCCAGCACAGCCAAUAAACAAAUAAACUAAACCCUCCCUAUCUGGCUUGUUCCUAGAAGGUUGUACUUCUCACCCUAAUGUCGUCAAGCUUGACUUUGUUUUCGUCAGGGAAAUGUGAGUAGAAAUAGCCUGAUCCACUUCUGAGCAGAAAUGUAUGAGCCGUCUCAUGAUUCCACCAUAUUUUUUUCUCAAUCAUGAGAGGAUCACAUUUCAAAUAGGGCUACUUUUCCAGGUUUGGUCCCAGAAUGAAGCUGUGCAGAGCCCCAGUUGACACACAGGACAUGUAAUGUGAGUAAGAAAUGAACCUUUGUUAUAAGCUACUGAGAUUGUUUUAGUUGUUUGUUAUUGCAGCAUAAUUUAGCUAGCCUAAACUGGCAAACACAGCUCUGAAACCCAGGUGACUCGCGGUAAGAAUCCACCUGCCAGUGCAGGAGAUUCAAGAGACUUAGGUUUGAUCCUGACUUCCCCGGUGGCUCAGACAGUAAAGUGUCUGCCUACAACGCAGGAGACCUGGGUUUGAUCCCUGGGUCGGGAAGAUCUCCUGGAGAAGGAAAUGGCAACCCACUGCAGUAUUGUUGCCUGGAAAAUCCCACGGACAGAGGAACCUGGUAGGCUACAGUCAGUGGGGUCACAAAGAGUCGGACACGACUGAGUGACAUUUACUUACUUUGGAGUGUGAAAGAUCCCCUGGAGGAGUAAAUGGCAACCGCUCCAGUAUUCUUGCCUGGGAAAUGGUAGAGGAACCUGGCGGGCCACAGUACACGGGGUGCAAACAGUGGGACAUGACAGAGUGCACACACACAUCACAUGCACACACACGGGUAAGCCGAGAGCUUAUCUACAGACAUAAUCAAAAAUAAACCAAACGCUGAUCAGUUCAUAUGAGAGGAAUCUCAAGGCAGAUAUGAUUGCAGUUUAAUAGAACCCUAAUCAAUCUUGUCAGCCAACCAUUCUGUACCAUAUUUGGAGACUGUUCUGUCAAAUAAUAGUUCUGUAUCCUAUUUGGAGAGAGAUUCUGUGAACUAAAGGGCUUAAUCAGACAUGACAACUGAAAACAAGGCAGAGACGAGCAUUAACGUUGCCCCUCUAAGCCCUGUCUCAGUCAGACUGGCCUAGGCAUUAAGAUUUUCUUGUCUGUGUCAUCCCUACAGUGGGUGAAUUAUCUCUGGGUGCCUCAGCCAAGAAAUGCUUCUUAAGAUCAAUAUGCCUUCCUGGUGUGAUUCUGUGCUCACCCAGCAAAUGUCCUGCCUCUGGGACAGAAUUUAGUGAUCUACCACCUAGAGGAUCCCAGUUCUCUUGAUAAUUGCAUUUUUCAUUGUAAGUUAAUCUACCAGAUCCAGGUAUAUGUAACUAUCCAUUUUUGUGAACUGAGAGAAUAUAAGAGCCCUCCUGGGAGAUGGUUCCACUCUGUGCUUACUAUUAAAACCUGGCUUCUGAGAUGGCAAGACCAAGGCCCAGUUCUGAGAUGAUGGUAGAUUCCCUAGUGUUAAAACUGUAGAGGGACCUCUCUAGAAUACCUUAAGCUGCACCCCUCUGUCUCAUUGUAUGGCAUCUUUGAUCUCAAAGAAGAGCAGUAAGUGCUAAGGAAAGAUAUAAUUGACAUGUUGUGGGAGUUCAGAAAGGAAGAGAUUACUUCCACUUAGCAUGAAAGAAUGGGAAGAAUUCAGGGAAGAUUUGUGAGGAUGUGACAUUUUUAAAAUGUGUAAAAUUAUGGAAAGAGCAUGCCAUGUAUAGGCGGCCACUAGAGUACGUAUAGGAAGCAGGGGGUUGAUGGAGGAAACAUAGAAGAUGAUGAAAAGGGAAAAAGCAUCAUCUGGAAAAAUACAUUUUGGUCAGAUUAAGGCUGUUGGGUUUUGUUUUGUUUUGUUUUGUUUUUUUCUGCUAAGGAGACAGUGGUGGAAGUCUUAUUGUUUUUAUUUAAUUUUUCCAUUUUAAUAACUUAAGAGAACAGUUUAUUGGCAUUAAGUACGUUCACAUCAUUGUGCAACCAUCGCCACUAUCUGCCACCAGGAUUUUCAUCAUCCCAUGCUGAAACUCUGUGCCUGUUAAAUGAUAACUCCCCGUCCUCCCCACCCUCAGCUCCUAGGAACCCCUGUUUUCUUUUCUCCUUUUAAAUUUGACUAUUCCAAGUAUAUUAUAUAAGUGGAAUUAUAUUGGGCUGGCCAACAAAUUCAUUCAGGCUUUUCCACAAGACAUUACAGAGAAACCCAAACAAACUUUUUGGCCAACCCGAUACAAUAUUUUCCUUUUGUGUCUGGCAUGUUUCACUUAUAGUAAUGUGUUCAAGUUUCAUCCAUGUCAUAUAGCACAUAUUAAACUUUCUUUUUUGGAGGGAGGAAGAAGAGGGUAGAGAAAACACACAUACUUGAGGAAGGUGCAAAGGCACACAGGACAAGGGUCCCGCCACCAGGGGCCUUGCGCUACGUCUCACUGCUGUGUUUUUUGCUCCCCUCAGCAGCCCAACGUGAAGGCCUCAGGGCAAGGACACCUUCAGAACCAGCAGCCAUCAGCCCAAAGAGCGCCCCUGGACUCAGGCCCUGCCAUUCUGCCCCUGAAUGCUGUUCCUGCCCACACCGCUUAAAGAUGUGGACCUGAACCCCCGAGAGACCUCAGGAGGACUGGGCCCUCUUGUCGAACAGCCUUUCAGGCAAACUUUCAUCUCUAGUUAUGGCUGAAUAUAGUACUCCAUUAAGUGUAUAUAACGUAUUUUGCUUAUAAAUUCAUCCGGCAACGGAAUUUGGGUUGUUUCUGUCUUUUGACUAUGGCAAAUAAUGCUGCUAUGAACAUUGGUGUUCAAAUAUCUGUUUGAGUUCCUGCUUUCGACUCUUGGGGGUACAUACCCAGAAGUGAAAUUGCUGGAUCAGAUGGUAAUUCUAUGUUUAAUUUUUUGAGGGACCACCAUACUGUUUUCCACAGCGGCUGUACCAUUUUACAUUCCCAGUGAUAGAAGUUUUUACAGAUGGGAAUGACAUGGUCAAAACUGUGUUUAACCACUACACGGGGCUUCCUUAGUGGUGCCUGUGGACAGGAAUCUGCCUCCCAAUUCUGGGGACACAGGUUUGAUCCCUGCUGCAGGAAGAUUCCACAUGCUGCGGAGCAACUAAGCCCGUGAGCUGCCACUCCCGAAGCCCUGGCACCUAGAGCCUGUGCUCCGCAAUAAGAGAAGCCGUCGCAAUGAGAAGCCCAGCGCUGCAACCAAGAGUCGCCCUGGCUCACCGCAACUGGAGAAAGCCUGCGCUCAGCAACGAAGACCCAGCACUACCAAGACACACACACAAAAUGGCUAUCUGGCAGAGGUAACGGGAUGGAGUGGGGUUUCAGAAUGACCAGUUGGAGACUUCCACACAGGACGAGAUCUAACAGGAGCCUGAGCACAUCAGUAGCAGUGAGAAUGGAGGGUGGAAGAUAGAAAUGCAGAGGUGAUGCUGCCCACAGAGGACUGAAGCACUUGAUUGUUGACCUGCUGCUGCAGAGGUGAGGAGCAAGAGACAUGAAGGUGUAUGGUAUGACCCCCGGCUUCACCCCUGGGAGUAGGGUGGUCUCCAGAUGAAGAUUUCCGGACUUCUCCAGAGCGUGGCAAGUGGGACAUUGUGAGCUCUGGGAUGGACACUUGUUGUCUUGCCUGCUCAGUACCCUUGCCCUUUCCAAUGGUAAUGACACUGUAUUUGCAGCCCAGCUGCUGAGCCCUGAAAUCCAUGCUGCGCUCUGAGAUCCAUUGCCCUUCACCCCCAGGCCUCACUUCCCACAAGCUGGCCACUGACUGAGCACAGCUGGGAUUUUUGGACAGGCACCUGCCUAGGAUAAGUGACGGUCUUCUGAUGGACAACUUUGGCUCAAGGACUCCUCAGUGACCUCACAAACGUUCCUUGAAGCUGCACUGCAGUCUAAGGUGCUUCCACCUAGGACUCCUGCCUUCUCUCUUCUUCACUUAGGGUCAGACCUGUUGAGUGGUCCUCUCCCAGUCUCUCUCAGGUCUGGCCCCCCAUUGUCUCUCACAGGUGUUUUCCAUAUUGAAUUUCUUGCAUUUAACCCUGUCUUGAGGUCUGUUUUCUGAGGAGCUGAACUGACGGAGGGGAGGGAGGAUGAGCUCACAGCAUCUCCUCUGUAUCCCAUCAGCCGUAGGGGUAAGUGUGUGACCCACCCUGACCAAUCAUCCUGAGCCCCACACCUUGGCCCAGGGCCUCCUCAGAGUCUCUCUGCAUCAUUUGGCUCCCAGAUCAUUAGAUGCUUGGUCCACCUCAAUCACAGACAUGGCUGACCAGCUCUGAGUGAGGCCUCACAGUUCCACUGGCUGAAGCCAGCGAGUUGCAAGCAUGGAUAGUCUGGCUUCUCUCGCACUUUCCAGACCCUGAGGACCCACCACCUCACAGAGCAAGAGAUCUGGGCUCCUAAGCAGCUGCUGAAGGGGUCGGUGAUAUACAGGAGAUAGAACCUGCACCAGAGACUUAACUGCCCAUGGGGCCAACUAUAGGCUUUCCUGGUGGCUCAGCUGGUAAAGAAUCCACCUGCAAUAUGAGAGAGCUGGGUUUGAUCCCUGGGUUGGGAAGAUCCCCUGGAGAAGGGAACAACUACCCACUCCAGUAUUCUGGCCUGGAGAAUUCCAUGGAUUGUAUAGUCCAUAGGGUUGCAAAGAGUCGGACACGACUAAGCAACUUUCACUUCAGGGCCAACUGUGAUGAAUGAAGGAACAAUUUACUCUCCCUCCCUUCCUCUGAUGGACUGUUUGAAGGUAUAGUUUCUCUGUACAAACAGUCUGAAGGCUUUCUGCACGUCUAAGUAGGUAGACCUGUCCAGAGACCAGAUGUGUCUCUUUACAGUUCAUUGUAAAGAAGUAGCAAGAAACAUUUCCUUGCAUUGCUUGCCAUCUUUUCCUGCUUCCCUGUCCCCUCAUCCUCACUGCCCUAGCAUUGUGCAUCCCAUAUAAAGCUUUAGCACUUGAUCCCUUCUUCAGGUUUUAUUUUCUAGGAGCCCUUGUUAAGACAGAUCACAGUUUCUGAACAGCUGAGCACUGGACUCAAACCAAGCUAAGCAAAGCCUUCCUAAAGAUGCAGAAUAUAGACAGACAAGACUUUUCUUCUGUAGGUCUUGAGUCAUAAAGAUCUGUGGGUGGCUACCACUUCUGCUUUACAGGAAGAGCCUGCCUGAGCACAAAGGCAUCACAGAGGAAGGCAGAUCUCAGAGAAAGAGAAGGACACAGAGGCCUGACAUCCUUUGAGCUCCAAGAUCCAACCCUCCCCAAUAUGUAUAAUAGUUUUGUUAUUUAUCUCCCUAAAGACUGGUUUUACCAAUCCAAAUCAAAGAAAAUGUGGUCACCUCUGGAUCCCAGGGUACCUCAUUUAAGAGAUCAGUCAGGUGAUUAGAUUUGAGGCUCAAUUUCAAAUUCCUGGGAGAAAGAGCUGUUGCUUGGACUAGUUUUAGCCAGAUGUUUACCCCUGAACCAAUCAACAUCACUGUGGGCACAGGGUCACGUGUAAAUAUGGCUGUAGCCACUGUAAGGCUGUGAAUAUGGUGUGAUAUCAAGUAGGGAGGAAAAGCUGGAGUAGGGAGUUGGGCAGACCAAACAAGGGGUGCCCACUCCUUGAGAAUAAAUAAGAGGGAAAGGAUAAAGAGAAGGGGUCUGAGGACAGAACACCGUCUAAUCCAAUGCUGUCCUGCUCUUUAUCUAAACCAACGCUAUCCAGUAGAACCUUCUGCAAUGAUGGAGGUGUUUUAUAUCUCUGCUGUUCAGUGUAAUAACCAUCAGCCACAAGUGGCAGUUCAGCCCUUGACAAUGGAUGCAACCGAGCAACUGAAUUUUUUGCUUCAUUUUAUUUUAAUUUAAAUUUGAAAAACUGUGUAGUUAAUGACUACGUAUUGGACAGGUCAGACCACACUGCCAGUCUGUUUGGGAAGAAAGCAUAUUGCAUGUGCUUUGGAGUCAGUCAGAUCUAGGUUCAAGUCUCAACACUACUUCUUAAAAAUUGAACAGAUUCCUUAACCCCUCUGAGCUAUAGAAGUGAAAGAUGCAAAGGAUAGUGAAUAAUACGUGAUACCAAAAAGUGAGAAAGGGGCAAAAGAUUGCAAAGGGACAAAAAGUCAGCUGGGUUUAACAAUGAGGAGAUGGAGUGAAUUAAGACAGAAGUAUUCAAAGUGUGAUGGGGCUAGAGCCAGACCAGCAAUUUUCCUGUCUUCUGGACAUCUGUUAAGUAUCUUUCCUCUGGAAGGGGAUCCCAGGAAGGGAAAGACAGGGAACAAAAUAAUUUAAUUUUAAUCCUGAUGGCCAUGAGGGGAGCUGAGAACCCAAAGGAAUGUCCUGAAGGUAGGGCUCCAAGAUCAAGCCAGAAAAACACAGUCAGAAACAGUCAGCCAAGGGUCUGGAGCCAAAGAUAGGGUUGCAUAGACCAAGAAACUAGAAGGAAAGAACAUCUCAUAAAAUAUCCUCAUGACAUAGCACUUACUGUGUAACUAGAUUGUGAACCCUUCAGGGUUCAGAGCCAAGUUCAUCUUGGUAUUCCCAACACCUAGUAAGUUCCAGACACAAUAAUAGGUGUUUAAUUAACAUCUGUUAGAAUGAAUGCAAGUAAGCCAGUCACUCCUUGGUGCAUGGUAUUCACUCUAAAAAUGUUAAAUGAUCAAAAAGAGAAAUCUCUGCAAUGAGAAGGUGCCAGGGAAACCUUCAUGGCAGGGAAACCCUGUUUGUAUGGUCCCUAGCAUAUCACCUGGCACAGAGGGAUUGCUCAACAAGUGGUCACAAGGGUAAUGAUUAUUAGUGGGGGAGUGAGGUUUUGCAUAAUGAUCAGGGAAAGCUUUGAUGAUAAGAGGAGCUAAGUGAGUGAAGUCGCUCAGUUGUGUCCAACUCUUUGUGACCCCAUGGACUGUAGCCUACCAGGCUCCUCUGUCCAUGGGAUUUUCUAGGCAAGAGUACUCGAGUGGGUUGCCAUUUCCUUCUCCAGGGGAUCUUCCCAAUGCAGGGAUCAAACCCGAGUCUCCCGCGUUGUAGGCAGACGCUUUACCGUCUGAACCACCAGGGAAGUUAAUAGGAGCUAAACUAUAUUGAUUUCAUAUAAUCUUUAUCCCACUCAAUAAGAUAGAUCUUAUUAGACUAAUUUCACAGAUGAGGAAACUCAAAGAGGAGAUGUGACUUAUUCAUGGUUAGCCAGUUUAGAAACAGCACAGCUGGGGUUGAACCUGAGCUUCCCUGAUUCCAGGGUCCAAGCUCCAACAGCAAAGAUUUGGGAAGUAGGAAGCAGAAGUGUCCAAAGAAGAAAUUAAGGAAGGCAGUUCUGGGGUCAGAAUUCACUUCUGAUUUCUAUAUGCUUACAGAAAUUAUGAUGCCUUUCUCCCUGGAACACCCGAUGCUUGCUUCUUGGCAACCCCUUCUACUGAGUUCACCUCUAGGCCACCCUUUUGUUUUAUGUCCCAUUCAACCACAUCUACUCUGCUUUUACUCAAGGAAGUAGAAGUUGAAAUGGGAUCAAGGGGAGUUUUUAUUUGUUGGUUUGUUUUAUCUUCCCUGGUGGCUUAGAUGGUAAAGUGUCUGCCUACAAUGAGGGAGAUCUGGGUUCAACCCCUGGGUCCGGAAGAUCUCCUGGAGAAGGAAAUGGCAACCCACUCCAGUAUUCUUGUCUAGAAAAUUCCAUGGAUGGAGGAGCCUGGUAGGCUACAGUCCAUGGGGUGGCAAAGAGUCGGACAUGGCUGAGCUACUUCACUUUCACUUUCACUUUGUUUUAGUUUUAAGAAGGAAAACUCCAGAGCAAUUUUGUAAACUAUGCAUUUUCUAGUAGACAGGCAGAAACUGACAGUGAAAGAGAGAGAAAAGAUCUGCAGAGGUAAGAUUUUGGGGUCCUCGGCACAGAUGGGCGAGAGCUUGGCCUCUGAGCUAGGGCAUUGUGUGCUUUCCUUCAGAGCAAAGAAAGAGAAUAUGGGUACAGAGGCAGGAAAGUUAGUAAAGGUCAGGAUGCUUAAAAUGAAAAGUCAAAUUUUGCAGCAAUUGAUGAUGGCAUAGUCUAGGACAAUGUUUUCCAAAUUGCAGGUCCUAGCUUAUUAGUAGAUCAUAAACCCACUUAGAAGUUUGCAACCAGCUUUAUUAAAAAAAAAAAAAGAAUAGCAUAGAAUUGAAAAUUUGAAUUAAUUACACAUAGCAAGGGUAAAUACUGUGGAAACUAUUGUGAAACUUCUGUUUCAGUUAUAUAUCCAGCUAGUAAUACAUGUAUACUAUAAAAUUUAUUUCUUAUUGAGGGUUCAGUAAAACAUAUUUUAAAGCCACUGUUCCAGGAUGAGACCAUGAGAAGAAUAGCUGAUUCCUAGAACUUCCUUUCCCUUCCAGAAUUUUCCAUGAUGCUUGUAAAUUGGUCUUUUUUGUGACCAGCAAUUGGCACCCUAAGGUGCAUGAGCUUGAUCAAGUAUGCCAGAGCGCCCUAAGCAUGUGGCUUCCAUAUGUACCUAAACAUUAGUCUCCUAGCCUUCAGGGAUACUCUUUCCUCCUGAGAAGAAAAUCCUGAGAUUCACUGUGAUUGGACAGGCUGAGUUCAUACAACCACCCUGAACCAGUCAUUCUGGCCAGUAGGAUUGACCAGCUCAGCCCUCCUUUUCCCUGAUAAGCGUCAGCUUCCUGGAAAUACUUGGAUCCUGAAAAGGAAAUCAGGGGCUGUUGGAAAAGGGGAAAUGGAGAAAUGAGAUAAUCAACUGAUAUCCCAUACACGUGUCCCUUUAGGUGCCAAAGUUAGGUGUGAGUUUCAAUAGCAUUUGUGCUGGCCAUUUGCCUGUUUGCUCUGAGCUCCGGUCUAGACUCUUCCAUGUUCUUCUUUGUACUGAAGAGUGCCAGGCCCUGAAGGGCCCCCAAAACUACAUUUCCCAGUCUUCUCUUGCUAGCUGACUUCCUGUCAGAUUCAGUCAGUGGGAAGUACAGGUGGGAAACUGAAUGGCUGGAGAUGGGAUGGCUGGAGGAGAUGUGAAUAUUUUCUCUUUGUAUCCACUGGAGACUCUGGCAGCAGCUGGUGAUUAUGGGUUCAGAGACCUUCAGUAUUUCCAAAAGUAUCAGUGGUACUGGAGAGGUGGCUCUAGGCUCCAGUGACCCCUGGCAGUUCUGCCGGCAGCAUCAUUUCAAAAGCAAUGACCCAGUAGCAUCAGUAGCACUUCUGGCUCUGGUAGCACCCUUCCAGUUGACCCUCCAGAUCUAGGGGUAGUAGAAGCUUCCUGCAGCUACUAAUCUCUGGUCUUCUCCACCUUGCCCUUUUGCUCCCUCUAGCCAACCAGUUUUUUGAAAUAAACUACCUCUGUUUGAAAUUCCAAGCACCUUUUCUGUUUUCUUGUCCAGACCGGCAUGGUAUUGCCCUGGCCAUUAAGCUGACUGCCAUGAUCAAUUUCCCAG
ensembl:lncRNA